rnacentral:rRNA from 1 species
UACGAGUGGUGCGAGCGUUGUUCGGAAUUACUGGGCAUAAAGAGCACGUAGGCGGUCUGGUAAGUCUGCUGUGAAAUCCCCCGGCUCAACCGGGGAACUGCAGUUGAUACUGCUGGGCUAGAGUGCGGGAGGGGAGAGCGGAAUUCCUGGUGGAGCGGUGAUAUGCGUAGAUAUCAGGAGGAACGCCGGAGGCGAAAGCGGCUCUCUGGUCCGCAACUGACGCUGAGGUGCGAAAGCUAGGGGAGCGAACAGG